AGAGUUUGAUCCUGGCUCAGGAUGAACGCUGGCGGCGUGCUUAACACAUGCAAGUCGAGCGAAGCGGAUCUUCGGAAGUUUUCGGAUGGAAGAGGAUUUGACUUAGCGGCGGACGGGUGAGUAACGCGUGGGUAACCUGCCUUACACUGGGGGAUAACAGUUAGAAAUGACUGCUAAUACCGCAUAAGCGCACAGGGCCGCAUGGUCUGGUGUGAAAAACUCCGGUGGUGUAAGAUGGACCCGCGUCUGAUUAGGUAGUUGGUGGGGUAACGGCCCACCAAGCCGACGAUCAGUAGCCGACCUGAGAGGGUGACCGGCCACAUUGGGACUGAGACACGGCCCAAACUCCUACGGGAGGCAGCAGUGGGGAAUAUUGGACAAUGGGCGAAAGCCUGAUCCAGCGACGCCGCGUGAGUGAAGAAGUAUUUCGGUAUGUAAAGCUCUAUCAGCAGGGAAGAAAAUGACGGUACCUGACUAAGAAGCCCCGGCUAACUACGUGCCAGCAGCCGCGGUAAUACGUAGGGGGCAAGCGUUAUCCGGAUUUACUGGGUGUAAAGGGAGCGUAGACGGUUUAGCAAGUCUGAAGUGAAAGCCCGGGGCUCAACCCCGGUACUGCUUUGGAAACUGUUAGACUUGAGUGCAGGAGAGGUAAGUGGAAUUCCUAGUGUAGCGGUGAAAUGCGUAGAUAUUAGGAGGAACACCAGUGGCGAAGGCGGCUUACUGGACUGUAACUGACGUUGAGGCUCGAAAGCGUGGGGAGCAAACAGGAUUAGAUACCCUGGUAGUCCACACUGUAAACGAUGAUUAC
rnacentral:rRNA from 1 species